GGUUCUAUGGUAUAAUGGUUAGCACUAAGGACUCUGAAUCCAGUAACCCGAGUUCAAGUGUCGGUAGGUCCU